rnacentral:rRNA from 1 species
UGGGGAAUCUUGCGCAAUGGGCGAAAGCCUGACGCAGCAACGCCGCGUGAGCGAAGAAGGCCUUCGGGUUGUAAAGCUCUGUCAGGGGGAAAGAAGGCACCUGGGUUAAUAGCCCAAGGGCUGACGGUACCCCCAAAGGAAGCCACGGCUAACUACGUGCCAGCAGCCGCGGUAAUACGUAGGUGGCAAGCGUUGUCCGGAAUCAUUGGGCGUAAAGAGCGCGUAGGUGGCUUGUCAGGUCUGAUGUGAAAUUUCGGGGCUCAACCCCGAACCUGCAUCGGAAACCGGCUUGCUAGAGUCUGGGAGAGGAGAGUGGAAUUCCUGGUGUAGCGGUGAAAUGCAUAGAUAUCAGGAGGAACACCGGUAGCGAAGGCGGCUCUCUGGAACAGUACUGACGCUGAGGCGCGAAAGCUAGGGGAGCGAACAG